UUCCCAUUUAAAACUUUGGUUCGUAGAUGUCCUUUUAUCAUUUUCUUUGACUUUGCGAACAACCCAUGCACGUAUAUUUUGCUGAUCAAUGCUACCGGAUUCCACUACAUCAAGCUGUUCAGCAGACACAUCCUGAGAGUUAUCCGAUUGACGGCUUAAAACCUUUUGAACCAUGUAUUGCGAUCUUUACCUUGCAAAAUC